AUGGAUGAUCUUACAGCCAGGAUAAGUUUCCAACGUGACAUAAGGGACUGUAACAUCCUUUGUUUGCUUGAAACAUGGCUCAUGCCCUCGGUCCCGGACACUGCUGUACCGCCGUCUGAUAACUUCUCUGUUUUACGGAUGGACCGAACAGCCGACGCCGGUAAAUCCAUAGGUGGAGGAGUGUGUUUCAUGAUUAACAAGAAAUGGUGUGACCCCAGGAAUAUCUCCAAUCUGUCACACUCCUGCUCGCCUCAUCUGGAACAUUUAUCCAUUAUUUGCCACCCAUUCUAUCUGCCCCGGGAGUUUUCAUCAAUCAUUGUUACUGCUGUCUACAUUCCACCACAGGCAGACACAAGCUUGGCUUUAUCUAAGCUUCACGAUGUGCUCAGUGGAUACAUUAACAAACAUCCUGACGCUGCUCUUAUCAUCGUGGGGGAUUUUAACAAAGCCAACCUUAGGCAGGUAAUGCCGAACUUAUACCAACAUGUAUCCUGUCCAACAAGAGGAGCGAAUACACUGGAUCAUUGCUACUCUCAGUUUAAGAAUGCCUACAAAGCUCGCUCACUACAAGCUUUCGGCAAAUCGGACCAUGCCGCCAUUUUCCUCACACUGGAAUAUAAACAAAGACUCGUUCAAGAACCCCCGGUGCAGAGGGUAGUGACACGUUGGUCCGCCCACUCUGAAUCCAUGCUACAGUCGGCUCUUGAUGACGUAGACUGGGACAUGUUCCGAACGAGUUCCUCUGACGUCAGCGAGUUCGUGGAUGUAGCAUUAAGCUUUGUAAACACACUAACUGAACAAGUUACGGAUACAGUAACUAUAAGGACCUUCUCAAAUCAGAAACCGUGGGUGGACAGAACAAUCCGUGCUGCAGUAAACAAACGCACUGAUGCAUACAACGCCGGGCUCUCGUCAGGGAACAUGAGUGAGUACAAAACAUCGUGCUAUGCUCUCAGACGCGCAGUAAAAGCCGCAAAACACAGAUACAGGGAACGCAUAGAGACCCAAUUCCAACUAAAUGACUCCUGA
ensembl:lncRNA